AACGAACGCUGGCGGCAGGCUUAACACAUGCAAGUCGAACGCCCCGCAAGGGGAGUGGCAGACGGGUGAGUAACACGUGGGAACCUUCCUCGUUGUACGGGACAACUCAGGGAAACUUGAGCUAAUACCGUAUACGUCCGAGAGGAGAAAGAUUUAUCGCAAUGAGACGGGCCCGCGUCGGAUUAGCUAGUUGGUGGGGUAACGGCCUACCAAGGCGACGAUCCGUAGCUGGUUUGAGAGAACGACCAGCCACACUGGGACUGAGACACGGCCCAGACUCCUACGGGAGGCAGCAGUGGGGAAUCUUGGACAAUGGGCGCAAGCCUGAUCCAGCCAUGCCGCGUGAGUGAAGAAGGCCUUCGGGUUGUAAAGCUCUUUUGUCAGGGACGAUAAUGACGGUACCUGAAGAAUAAGCCCCGGCAAACUUCGUGCCAGCCGCCGCCGUAA
rnacentral:rRNA from 1 species